UACGUAGGGGUGCGAGCGUUGUCCGGAAUUCAUUGGGCGUAAAGGGCUCGUAGGCGGUUUGUCGCGUCGGGAGUGAAAUCCACUGGCUUAACUGGUGGCUUGCUUUCGAUACGGGCAGACUGGAGGUAUGCAGGGGAGAACGGAAUUCCUGGUGUAGCGGUGAAAUGCGCAGAUAUCAGGAGGAACACCGGUGGCGAAGGCGGUUCUCUGGGCAUGUCCUGACGCUGGAGGAGCGAAAGCAUGGGGAGCGAACAGG
rnacentral:rRNA from 1 species